rnacentral:rRNA from 1 species
GACGAACGCUGGCGGCGUGCUUAACACAUGCAAGUCGAACGCUGAAGCUCAGCUUUUGUUGGGUGGAUGAGUGGCGAACGGGUGAGUAACACGUGAGUAACCUGCCUCCUUCUUUGGGAUAACGCCCGGAAACGGGUGCUAAUACUGGAUAUUCACUGGUCUUCGCAUGGGGGUUGGUGGAAAGGGUUUUUCUGGUGGGGGAUGGGCUCGCGGCCUAUCAGCUUGUUGGUGGGGUGAUGGCCUACCAAGGCUUUGACGGGUAGCCGGCCUGAGAGGGUGACCGGUCAGAUUGGCACUGAGAUACGGCCCAGACUACUGCGGGAGGCAGGAGUGGGGAAUAUUGCGCAAUGGGCGGAAGCCUGAUGCAGCGCCGGCGCGUGAGGGAUGGAGGGCGUGGGGUUGUGAACCUCUUUCGCUAAUGGUCAAGCCGCAACAAUGGUUGUGGUGAGGGUAGUGGGUAAAGAAGCGCCGGCUAACUACGUG